GUCUUUGCAGUUUCUUCUUUUCAGUUUGCGUGUGUCAUUCACUCUCAACUAUUUGUGUCUUCUGCUGUUGUGUCAACAAUAGGUAGGUUUGUACAUUAUUUAAAUGCCUGAGAAUGCCAGUUAGGACUUAGGCUGCAGUAAUUGAAAGCACAGAUUUGAGGACGGUUUCUAAACAGAGAAAAGGAGAAAAUUCUUCUAAAUGGCCAAAUUAGAUAAGUCAAGAGGAACAGGAAUAAAAAUGGAAUUGCCACAAGCAAGGCUGAGAGACUUUGGAAGAAAUAUUGAUAAGGAAAAGCCAAAGAUUUCUCAGCCUUGAAAGCAAACAAAAACUGCAGACACACACACAUAAAAACCCCACCAUAACAAGCAAAGAAUGAAGAAUGUUUUGGUAUACAGUGAGAGAGAAAGUGUAAUCUGAGCAUAGCUAGGAAUCAGAAUGAAUGGUUUGUGUUGGAAUUUUGCAGGUCUGUGAUAUUGACCAUUACAACAAAAGCAAGAUGGCUAAGAGGAGUGAAGUUAUAUAGGUAGAAAUUACCACUUCCUGGAUUGGAAGCUGAAGAACAUAAUCUUUUCAUGCCUGGAGACCAACUAAUUUCCAUCCCACAAUGCUGAAAGGGCUGGCACAUGAAACUGCAAGAGUGACGGUGAAUAUUUUUAAUAAACCUCGGGGGAAGGUGGAUAUGAGUACAGAAUAGCAAAUGUAGUACCUUUCUUUAAGAACAGGGAGAAAAAGUGAUGAGGGAAAGGACAGGCCAUUAAUCUCCCCUCAGUUGCAUACCUAGCUUGAAACAAAAUUUGAAGGAAGGACUAAUUAAGACACAUGAGAAAAUGGGCAAUGGAAUUAAGCAUAACCUGGCUUUACCACGAGUAAUCUAAAGAAAAGUAUUGGCUUAAUAAGAAGAUGCAUACCACAACUGAUGUUCAAAGCAAUGAGCAAAAUUUCAGUAAGAGACUCUGUGCCCUAAAGAUCAUACCUUUGAAGUACACAAGAAUGGCAAAAUGUGGCAGAAUGGAAGAUCUGUUAAAAUUAAUUUACAGGAAAAUGAAGCUCAGAGAUUUUAACUUUUCCUAAGGCUGAAGCUGUGAAUCAAGGAGACCUGGGACCACAAGAAAAGAAGUCCUGAAAUUUGUUCAGUCUUCUGAACCCGCAGAGAUACAAAGCACGCUCUAUAAGGGAUGCCUGAGAUAAGUAUAAUUUGCCUUUUAUGCGUGUAACUUUACGAGCUUGAGCUGAUGUGCUAAGUGAUGUAUCUGGUUAACUUGACUGUCAAAAUGCUAAAUGACAUCACAUUUAUAAUCCUAUAAUUAAAUUGUAAUCAAGAAGGUUUUGAGCCAACUUAGCUAGCUGCUAAUUUUCAGCAGACUUGACAGUUGAGUUGUAUAGAAAAGAAAUAUAAUUUCAGUGUGUACAUUUAAUUCCUUUUCCUUUCAUUUUGCUUGUUUGUGUAGCUUCAUGAUUAAGUGUUUCAGACUACAACUCGUUGCUUGCAACUCGGUUAUAACUCAACAACAGUGGCACGACACUGUGUCAUAAUAUGCAACCAAAGUCCUUGGAAGGGGGCUUUAAUUUUUUGGAUAAUAUGAUUGGAGUGGACCUGCAAUCAAAUGCAAAGUGUAAGACUAAGCAGAAUAAUGGUACUAAAAUAAAAGUAAACUUAGAAGCUUAAGUUAAAAAUAU
rnacentral:lncRNA from 1 species